rnacentral:rRNA from 1 species
UACGGGGGGUGCAAGCGUUAUCCGGAUUCACUGGGUUUAAAGGGUGCGUAGGCGGCUAUGUAAGUCCGUGGUGAAAUCUCUGGGCUUAACCCGGAAACUGCCAUGGAUACUAUGUGUCUUGAAUGUUGUUGAGGUGAGCGGAAUAUGUCAUGUAGCGGUGAAAUGCUUAGAUAUGACAUAGAACACCAAUUGCGAAGGCAGCACACUAAGCAAAUAUUGACGCUGAGGCACGAAAGCGUGGGGAUCAAACAGG